rnacentral:rRNA from 1 species
CCUACGGGGGGCAGCAGUGAGGAAUAUUGGUCAAUGGGCGCCAGCCUGAACCAGCCACGUCGCGUGAGGGAAGACGGUCCUAUGGAUUGUAAACCUCUUUUGUCGGGGAGCAAAAGACGCCACGCGUGGCGUUCCGAGAGUACCCGAAGAAAAAGCAUCGGCUAACUCCGUGCCAGCAGCCGCGGUAAUACGGAGGAUGCGAGCGUUAUCCGGAUUGAUUGGGUUUAAAGGGUGCGCAGGGGGAAGAGCAAGUCAGCGGUAAAAUUGAGAGGCUCAACCUCUUCGAGCCGUUGAAACUGGUUUUCUUGAGUGAGCGAGAAGUAUGCGGAAUGCGUGGUGUAGCGGUGAAAUGCAUAGAUAUCACGCAGAACUCCGAUUGCGAAGGCAGCAUACCGGCGCUCAACUGACGCUCAUGCACGAAAGUGUGGGUAUCGAACAGGAUUAGAUACCCGAGUAGUC